UACGUAGGGUGCAAGCGUUAAUCGGAAUUACUGGGCGUAAAGCGUGCGCAGGCGGUGAUGUAAGACAGGUGUGAAAUCCCCGGGCUUAACCUGGGAACUGCAUUUGUGACUGCAUCGCUGGAGUGCGGCAGAGGGGGAUGGAAUUCCGCGUGUAGCAGUGAAAUGCGUAGAUAUGCGGAGGAACACCGAUGGCGAAGGCAGGUCUCUGGGCUGACACUGACGCUCAUGCACGAAAGCGUGGGGAGCAAACAGG
rnacentral:rRNA from 1 species